GACGAACGCUGGCGGCGUGCCUAAUACAUGCAAGUCGAGCGGAGUUAUUCCUUCGGGGAUGACUUAGCGGCGGACGGGUGAGUAACACGUAGGCAACCUGCCUGCAAGAUCGGGAUAACAUUCGGAAACGAAUGCUAAUACCGGAUACACAAUGUCCUCGCAUGGGGAGAUUGGGAAAGGCGGCGCAAGCUGUCACUUGCAGAUGGGCCUGCGGUGCAUUAGCUAGUUGGUGGGGUAACGGCUCACCAAGGCGACGAUGCAUAGCCGACCUGAGAGGGUGAUCGGCCACACUGGGACUGAGACACGGCCCAGACUCCUACGGGAGGCUG
rnacentral:rRNA from 1 species